rnacentral:rRNA from 1 species
GAUGAACGCUGGCGGCGUGCCUAAUACAUGCAAGUCGAGCGAACGGACGAGAAGCUUGCUUCUCUGAUGUUAGCGGCGGACGGGUGAGUAACACGUGGAUAACCUACCUAUAAGACUGGGAUAACUUCGGGAAACCGGAGCUAAUACCGGAUAAUAUUUUGAACCGCAUGGUUCAAAAGUGAAAGACGGUCUUGCUGUCACUUAUAGAUGGAUCCGCGCUGCAUUAGCUAGUUGGUAAGGUAACGGCUUACCAAGGCAACGAUGCAUAGCCGACCUGAGAGGGUGAUAGGCAACACGGGAACUGAGACACGGUCCAGACUCCUACGGGAGGCAGCAGUAGGGAAUCUUCCGCAAUGGGCGAAAGCCUGACGGAGCAACGCCGCGUGAGUGAUGAAGGUCUUCGGAUCGUAAAACUCUGUUAUUAGGGAAGAACAUAUGUGUAAGUAACUGUGCACAUCUUGACGGUACCUAAUCAGAAAGCCACGGCUAACUACGUG